GCCGAAGUGGCGGAAUUGGUAGACGCGCACGACUCAAACUCGUGUUCGAAAGAGUAAGGGUUCGAUUCCCUUCUUCGGUA
rnacentral:tRNA from 1 species